AACCUGGUUGAUCUUGCCAGUAGUCAUAUGCUUGUCUCAAAGAUUAAGCCAUGCAAGUGAAAGUAUAUAUAUAUUUUAUAUGUAGAAACUGCGAACGGCUCAUUAAAACAGUUAUAGUCUACUUGACAUUUUGAUUAUAAGGAUAACUACGGAAAAGCUGUAGCUAAUACUUGCUUUAUUAUCCUUUGAUUUUUAUCUUUGGAUAAGUAUUUGUUAGGCCUUAUAAGAAAAAAGUUAUUAACUUAAGGAAUUAUAACAAAGAAGUAACACGUAAUAAAUUUAUUUUAUUUAGUGUGUAUCAAUCGAGUUUCUGACCUAUCAGCUUUUGAUGUUAGGGUAUUGGCCUAACAUGGCUAUGACGGGUAACGGGGAAUUAGAGUUCGAUUCCGGAGAGGGAGCCUGAGAAAUAGCUACCACAUCUAAGGAAGGCAGCAGGCGCGUAAAUUACCCAAUUCUAAAGAAGAGAGGUAGUGACAAGAAAUAACAAUGCAAGGCCAAUUUUUGGUUUUGUAAUUGGAAUGGUGGGAAUUUAAAACCUUCCCAGAGUAACAAUUGGAGGGCAAGUCUGGUGCCAGCAGCCGCGGUAAUUCCAGCUCCAAUAGCGUAUAUUAAAAUUGUUGCAGUUAAAACGCUCGUAGUUGAAUUUCAAAGAAUCGAUAUUUUAAAGUAACUAUUUUAGGUGAACUAUUUUUUGGCUUCACGCCUUUAAAUUGCUUUCUCCUAUUAUUAUGUUCUUUAAAUAAAAAAGAUUCUUUUUAAAAUCCCCACUUUGCUUUUGCUUUUUGGGGAUUUUGUUACUUUGAGUAAAUUAGAGUGUUCAAAGCAAACAGUUAAAGCAUUUUACUGUGUUUGAAUACUACAGCAUGGAAUAACAAAAUUGAACAAGCUAAAAUUUUUUGUUCUUUUUUCUUAUUUUGGCUUAGUUACGAUUAAUAGGAGUAGCUUGGGGACAUUCGUAUUCAGAUGUCAGAGGUGAAAUUCUUAGAUUUUCUGGAGACGAACAACUGCGAAAGCAUUUGUCUAAAAUACUUCCAUUAAUCAAGAACGAAAGUUAAGGGAGUGAAGACGAUCAGAUACCGUCGUAAUCUUAACCAUAAACUAUGCCGACUAGGUGUUGGAUGAAAGUGUUAAAAAUAAAAGUCAUCUUUCGAGGUGACUUUUAGAUUGCUUCCUUCAGUACCUUAUGAGAAAUCAAAGUCUUUGGGUUCUGGGGCGAGUAUUCGCGCAAGCGAGAAAGUUAAAAGAAUUGACGGAAGGGCACCACCAGGCGUGGAGCUUGCGGCUUAAUUUGACUCAACACGGGAAAACUCACUAGUUUAAGACAAGAGUAGGAUUGACAGAUUAAUAGCUCUUUCUUGAUUUCUUGGAUGGUGAUGCAUGGCCGUUUUUAGUUCGUGAAUAUGAUUUGUCUGGUUAAUUCCGAUAACGAACGAGAUCUUAACCUGCUAAUUAGCGGCAAGUACACCAUAUUCUUAAUUGAAAUUGAAUAUAGGUAAUUAUACAUUUAUUGAGUACAUCAAAUUAGGAUAUUUUUUAUUAAAAUAUCCUUUUCCCUGUUUACUAAUAAUUUGUUUUUUACUCUAUUUCAUUCUUCUUUUAAGAAUGUACUUGCUUGAUUGUAAAGCUUCUUAGAGGAACAUUGUGUGUCUAACACAAGGAAGUUUAAGGCAACAACAGGUCUGUGAUGUCCUUAGAUGAACUAGGCUGCACGCGUGCUACACUGAUAUAUAUAACGAGUUAUUAAAAAUAUACAUUUAUAUUUGGUAUUUUUUAAAUACUUUGUAUUUUAUGUAUACUUUUCCUCCGCCGAAAGGUGUAGGUAAUCUUUAUCAAUAUAUAUCGUGAUGGGGAUAGAUUAUUGCAAUUAUUAAUCUUGAACGAGGAAUGCCUAGUAAGCAUGAUUCAUCAGAUUGUGCUGACUACGUCCCUGCCCUUUGUACACACCGCCCGUCGCUCCUACCGAUUGAAAGAUAUGAUGAAUUGUUUGGACAAGAAAGAGGGGAAUUAUAUUUCUUUUUUUCUGGAAAAACCGUAAAUCCUAUCUUUUAAAGGAAGGAGAAGUCGUAACAAGGUUUCCGUAGGUGAACCUGCGGAAGGAUCAUUA